AUCCGCCCGAACCCUUCCUCCCUCUCCUCUCAUUGCGUCGCACACACCACCGCCGCCCUUCUCCUCUUCUCUCCCUCACGCGCCGCCCUCUUUCCAUCGUCGUGGACCACCCAAUUCCCUCUCUUCGCACCAUCGCAGCCUUAUCUACCCGAAUCCAUCGCCAAUCGCCGCAUGCCCUCUCCGAUCAUAAGCGAGAGUCGCGCCUCUCCAGCUCGGGGAGAUCACCGACGAGGAGCUCUGAGCCUACGGUGGAUCCGAUCCUAAGAUGCCGCCUGCGACCUCCGCCUCCUUGACUCCCUUCCUCGUCUAUCCAUCAGCAAUCAUCAGGACCCAUUCGCCCUUCAUGGGUCGCGAUCCAACUGCGGUCGAAGGGGCUUCAAGUUCCAGCAGCGAUGCUGAUACUGUGUUGAUGUCGUUGCUGUUUCUCCGUCGAUGUGAGCAAGUCGAGCGACCACCAACGAGCCCUUGUCUGCCGACCUCAACAGCCCUUGCAGUGACUUCUGCUUGGGAAAGAAGCUACCGGCACAUAGUGGCUCCUUGGCAGUGUCAGUAACUGAAUUCUAGUGGUAGAGAUCUGACAGCCAUUCUUCUUGGUAGUGAUUAACUUUUGGAUCAAUAGAGAGGACUCUGAUUCGAGAUGAGCGUCUCGACGUGGGACUACUUGACACGAUCUACGUAUAAAUGCGGGGAACUCCAUCUAGGUCAUCGAGCUGAAUAGAUAGCUGGCAUGAAGUCCAAACAGGUUGACGGGCUGACUGAAUAUCUGACACGAAGUUCAGCUAGGUCAACGGGCCGAUCGGAUAGCUGACACGAAGUCUAGAUAAGUCAACGGGCUGACCGGAUGUCUGGCAAAGCGAUAAGUUAAGGAAAACAAUUUACUGGAAAAGGAGGCUCGGGCAUCCAAAAUGCCCAAGGCUUAUCUACUCGCCAGCUUGGAGUACGCUGAUUGGUUGGCCGACAUUACGGUCCAAGCGCCCAGAAGGGAUCUAGGCACCCGGAACUGCCUAUAUAAGCAGCCUUCCAUCAGGAGCACAAUACACAACUUUCUUCUGUAAUUGCCUUCUUGUGCGCUGCUCCAAAGAUACUCCUGCGACGCUGUGAAGCUUCUCCGACAACCUGAGAUUCUAUUUUUUAUUUCCCUUGUUGUCAGUAAUUUUAUACUAUAGUUCUUCUACUUAUCAUGUAACCCCUUUUUGCGAACUAUUAGUGGAUUGCCCAAUGAAAGCACUCGACGAGUGUUGACCUUAGAGUAGGAGUCGACAAAUACUCCGAACCAAGUAAAACUUGGUUUGCUAGCAUUGCUCUUAUUUUUCGCUUCCGUUGCAUACUCGAUUUAAUUCUCGAUUUUCGUCGAUCGCUAUUCAACCCUCCUCCUCUAGCGCUCUUUCCGAUCCAAUAAGUGGUAUCAGAGCGGGUGUCGUUCUGAAUUGGUGCAACCACCAAUCAGGCAA